UGGGGAAUAUUGGACAAUGGGCGAAAGCCUGAUCCAGCCAUGCCGCGUGUGUGAAGAAGGUCUUCGGAUUGUAAAGCACUUUAAGUUGGGAGGAAGGGCAGUAAGCGAAUACCUUGCUGUUUUGACGUUACCGACAGAAUAAGCACCGGCUAACUCUGUGCCAGCAGCCGCGGUAAUACAGAGGGUGCAAGCGUUAAUCUGAAUUACUGGGCGUAAAGCGCGCGUAGGUGGUUCGUUAAGUUGAAUGUGAAAGCCCCGGGCUCAACCUGGGAACUGCAGCCAAAACUGGCGAGCUAGAGUAGGGCAGAGGGUGGUGGAAUUUCCUGUGUAGCGGUGAAAUGCGUAGAUAUAGGAAGGAACACCAGUGGCGAAGGCGACCACCUGGGCUCAUACUGACACUGAGGUGCGAAAGCGUGGGGAGCAAACAGG
rnacentral:rRNA from 1 species